AGAAAACAUGCCUGUCAUCAUUAACAGCCAGUAACUACUACCUCUCACUAUGUAUACUGCAUCAGGCAAAGCUCUUUACAUUCAUAAUUUCACAGUAAAGCGCAUUGUGAACGUUGCAUGACUACAGAUGAGGUGGUUCUUCACCUUGUUGGGUCACAGAGCCUUCAAGGAGUCUAAGAAAGCUGUAGACCUUCUCUUCAGAAAAAUACUAAUAAGCUCAUUCACACUAAAAUGUAUAGAUGAUUUCAAAGAGAAGUCUGCAGUUACCUGAGGUGGCGCAGUGGUUAAGAAUCCGCCUGCCAAUGAAGGGGAUACGGGUUUGAGCCCUGGUCCAGGAAGAUCCCACAUGCCAUGGAGCAGGUAAGCCUGUGCACCACAACUACUGAGCCUGCGUUCUAGAGCCUGUGAGCCACAGCUGCUGAGCCCAUGUGCCACAACUACUGAAAUCCAUGCACCUACGGCUCGUGCUCCGCAAC